GCAGGAGUGGCGGAAUUGGCAGACGCGCUGGUCUUAGGAGCCAGUACCGAAAGGUGUAGGGGUUCGAGUCCCCUCUCCUGCA
rnacentral:tRNA from 1 species